rnacentral:rRNA from 1 species
AGGAUCAUUAAAAGUAAUAUAUAUUCAUUUGAAUAUACAUUUNAAACCCCCUUGUCUAAACCACCUGUUGCUUCCGGCUGUUUGGGNUGUNCAGUUAGCUGAAUAGCCUGGCCGGAAGGUUAACAUAAAAUAUUGUAUUUAGAGUCUUCUGAAUUUUUAAAAUAAAAGUUAAAACUUUCAACAACGGAUCUCUUGGUUCUCGCAUCGAUGAAGAACGCAGCGAAAUGCGAUAAGUAGUGUGAAUUGCAGAAUUCAGUGAAUCAUCGAAUCUUUGAACGCACAUUGCGCCUUCCGGUAUUCCGGGAGGCAUGCCUGUCCGAGCGUCAUCAAAAACCACUCAAGUAGUUUUGCUUGGUCAUGAAAGAAGAGUUUGCUUGCAAAUUCCCUUUCGAAAUUCAAUGGCGGAGAGUCUCAUGAUUCCGGCGUAGUAAUAACUUAUUCGCUUGGUCAUUGUAAUAAUCCUGCCUCAAACCCCCAAUUCUAGUGUUUGACCUCGGAUCAGGUAGGGAUACCCGCUGAACUUAAGCAUAUCAAUAAGCGGAGGAAAAGAAACCAACAGGGAUUGCCUUAGUAACUGCGAGUGAAGCGGCAAAAGCUCAAAUUUGAAAUCUGGUACCUUCGGUGCCCGAAUUGUAAUUUGGAGGCAUAUCCUCGGAGCUGGUGCUGUCCUAAGUUCCUUGGAACAGGACGUCAUAGAGGGUGAGAAUCCCGUGCCUGGAUGGCUGACCAGCUCCAUGUGAAGUGUGUCCUACGAGUCGAGUUGUUUGGGAAUGCAGCUCAAAAUGGGUGGUAAAUUUCAUCUAAAGCUAAAUAUUGGCGAGAGACCGAUAGCGCACAAGUAGAGUGAUCGAAAGAUGAAAAGCACUUUGAAAAGAGAGUUAAAAAGUACGUGAAAUUGUUGAAAGGGAAGCGCUUGCGACCAGACUCAAUCUUAGGUGAUCANCUGGGCUUCGGUUCGGUGCCAUUNCCUUUGAUUGGGCCAGCAUCAGUUUUGACGGUGGGAUAAAAGUUAGAGGAAUGUGGCUUCCUUNNGGAAGUGUUAUAGCCUCUUUCAUAAUGCCACCAGUUGGGACUGAGGACCGCGCUCGG